GGUUCCUUCUCUUUCCUUGACUGCCUGUGUAAUAACGGUUCCUGUUCCCUUUGGCUACUGCUUCUCCCUCUCCAUGAAGCCGCAGCCAGGACCCAAGUACCCAGUCAUCACAGAAGUCACACUUUUGACUUAUUAACGCUUUUACUUUCAAGGUCCUUUCAAAACUUGCCUUGUUUUGUUUCUUUUUUUCCAUCAAAGCCUAGAUAUGAGGAGACAGGGGAGGCAUGACCUCUAGCUCAGCUGGAAAUUUGGGCUUAUAAAUGUACGGUUUCUAGUGCAUCUGCCUUUCUGCAGCUCUGUUCGAAUACCAAAGGACAUUUCUUACUACAGAAGAGAAAGAGAACUGGCCCUAAAGAAAACUUACAGGGCCAGCGAGAACUGAAGCUGCUUUCGUCCUGCCCCAGCACAUGACAGAAAGAGAAGAAUUGAAACCUCAGCUGAGGCUCCUCCUUUCCCAUUUCAACAUCCCAUAUGACAUGGAGGAGCUAAGGAACGCUGCUAAGGAAACAGGACUUUUUCCCUUGGCACUUGAUGUCCUUUUCUCAAUACAAAUAUAGGUGUUCACGAAAGAAAACACUAGUAUUUGCCACAAGAUUGGAUAUUUAUACUACCAUGACUGUUUUUAGAGUGAUAAAAUAUAAUAGUAGUAGGUUAGAUUUAGCUUACAGUUGGACUUGCUCUCUGUAAAAGUAAUGGCACCCUUGAAUAUCCAAUCCAGAGAGUUUGUAGAAUUUAUUUUUCUGCAGGAUUCAAAGGGAAAGGUAAGUUAUAGUCCAUGGUAGAUAAUAUAAAUGUAGCCAAGAUUUGGCAAAUUUACAUGGUGGAGUUUUCUAGUAUCUAAAAGCCCUUUGAUUCUCAGAAUGUGUUGCAGUAACUUUCCUAUCGGCAAAAUGCUUUAUAUUCAAUAGAGUAUAUAUUAUGUACUGAUUUUUUAAGAAAUAGAACAUUAUAUUUCAAUACACAAUUUCUAUAUAAUCAAAAAAAUAAAACACCACAGUAAAGUGAUCAUGAUAAACAUGGUAUUUCAUUUGCAGUACAACAAGAAAUAACACCUCUAGUCAUAAAUGAGCUCUUAGAAACCAGUAACAAAGACACUAAUAUUCCAAGGGAAAUGGAAACAAAUGAAUAAUAUGAAUGACUAUAAAAGCUUAAGGAUAUUAUGAAGAUGACUGAGCUGACCAACGACAGAAGAGCGAUCCUCUGCGAUCUCGCCCUGUCAGAAACACCGACACGCAGGGUCCUCGCAGUUCUGUGCGCGGGGACUGUCAGCCACACAGCCUGCUCUGCCACGCCACAGUCUUGCACAUCUGCAAAGAACUCAUAUUAUCCGAGGCCCUGUUAAAAUUUGUUUC